AGGUCUUUCCCUGAAGAAAUGAGGGAGAUUCUUUGAAUGAAACUAGAUUUCCCAAAACAUUUUCAAACUCAACAUAUAGAAAAAGUCACACAGUGGAUAAAAUGGGAACAGAAGUCGGAAGACCCUCAUGACAAGGCAUGAGCAAAGGCCUUAACACAUGCUUGCUUCUGAUACAAGUCGUGAGAGCUGCCCUGGGACCUCAGUGCUUGCCUGUCUCUGAACUGUGCUCCACCUUCCUGAGGCCUGGCUGGGGAAGAAACACAUGAUGGAUACCUUCAAGAAAAUAAAUUCUGCAAGUUCAGAGAAUGAUUCGUGAAUAGAGUUACAUUAUUAAAAUUUGAGCUUCUAUCUGGUAUGGAGUAUAAUCCCUUCAUUUUUUCGGCAAGUGACAAUGUUCAAUAGAAAUGGGUGUUAUUUAUUAUCUUUGUAAAAGAUUUACUUCUACAUCCAGGCUAAAG